rnacentral:rRNA from 1 species
UGAGGAAUAUUGGUCAAUGGGCGUGAGCCUGAACCAGCCAAGCCGCGUGAGGGAGGAAGGCGCCAGGCGUCGUAAACCUCUUUUGCCGGGGAACAAAGGGCGCCACGUGU